rnacentral:rRNA from 1 species
UACGGGGGGGGCAAGCGUUGUUCGGAAUUACUGGGCGUAAAGGGCUCGUAGGUGGCCAACUAAGUCAGACGUGAAAUCCCCAGGCUCAACUUGGGAACUGCGUCUGAUACUGGAUGGCUUGAAUUCGGGAGAGGGAUGCAGAAUUCCAGGUGUAGCGGUGAAAUGCGUAGAUAUCUGGAGGAACACCGGUGGCGAAGGCGACGUCCUGGACCGGCAUUGACGCUGAGGCGCGAAAGCCAGGGGAGCAAACGGG